GAGUUUGAUCAUGGCUCAGGACGAACGCUGGCGGCGUGGAUAAGGCAUGCAAGUCGAACGCGAACGGAAUGACUAACUCGUUAGAAGUUCCUAGUAGAGUGGCGAACGGGUGAGUAACGCGUGGAUAACGUGCCUCUCAGUGGGGAAUAACACAGGGAAACUUGUGCUAAUACCGCAUACGUCCUUCCGGCCAAGUCGGAAUGAUGAAAGGUGGGGACCUUCGGGCCUGCCGCUGAGAGAUCGGUCCGCGUCCCAUUAGCUUGUUGGUGGGGUAAUGGCCUACCAAGGCAGUGAUGGGUAGCCGGCCUGAGAGGGUGACCGGCCACACUGGGAUUGAGAUACGGCCCAGACUCCUUCGGGAGGCAGCAGUCGAGAAUCUUCCACAAUGGACGAAAGUCUGAUGGAGCGACGCCGCGUGAGUGAUGAAGGCCCUACGGGUUGUAAAACUCUGUCAGGAGAGAAGAAUCGCCGGGAUGCCAAUACCAUCCUGGUUUGACGUUAUCUCCAGAGGAAGCUCCGGCUAACUCCGUGCCAGCAGCCGCGGUAAUACGGGGGGAGCAAGCGUUGUCCGGAAUUAUUGGGCGUAAAGGGCGUGUAGGCGGCCUGGUCAGUCGAAUGUGAAAUCCCACGGCUCAACCGUGGAAUUGCGUUCGAUACUGCCUGGCUUGAGUAUGUGAGAGGUGUGCGGAGUUCCUGGUGUAGCGGUGGAAUGCGUAGAUAUCAGAAGAACACCGAUGGCGAAGGCAGCACACUGGCGCAAUACUGACGCUGAGGCGCGAAAGCGUGGGGAGCAAACAGGAUUAGAUACCCUGGUAGUCCACGCUGUAAACGAUGGGUACUGGGUUUCGGGGUCUCAACCCUCUCGGAGCCGUAGCUAACGCGUUAAGUACCCGCCUGGGGAGUACGGUC
rnacentral:rRNA from 1 species